AUGAGUGUGUGUGUGUGUGUGUGUGUGUGUGUGUGUGUGUGUGUGUGUGUGAGAGAGACAAUCUACAGUAUAGCGCUCAUUCGAGCAUCUUUUAGCAUGUGACGUACAUUACGUCCCAACAUUCCAAGU